AUGGUGAGCCCCAUCCUGACCCUCCCCGCGCCGGAGGGCAACGGAGGCGCGGUCGGUGACGCCGACAAGCAGCAGCAGACGGCGCCUUCCACGCCCCCUCCCGGCGCGAAGGCGGACCCGCCGGCGACGGUGGCCACCCACACGCGCACCAUCGGAAUCAUCCACCCUCCGCCCGACAUCCGCGCCAUCGUCGAGAAGACCGCCGUCUUCGUCGCCAAGAACGGGCCCGAGUUCGAGCGCCGCAUCAUCUCCCUCAACCAGGGCAACGCCAAGUUCAACUUCCUCCAGCCCUCCGACCCCUACCACGCCUACUACCAGCACCGCGUCUCCGAGAUCGCUGCGGCGCCGCCCGGCUCCGACGCCCCCGCGGGCGCCGAGCCCGACGGAGGCCCCCCCGCCGCGCCAGCGGCGGCCCCGGCGGACGGCGCCGCCGCACCUGCUGAUGGCGCUGCGGCGGCGGCAGAUGCGAAGCCCGACCACUCCGCGCCCUUCCGCGUGGCACCGCCUGCCAAGGUGCUGGUGCCGCCCAAGGCGGAGCUGUACACGGUGCGGCUGCCCGAGGGCAUCACAGGGGAGGAGCUGGACAUCAUCAAGCUGACAGCGCAGUUCGUGGCCCGGAACGGGAAGAACUUCCUGACGAGCCUGGCACAGCGUGAGAGCAACAACGUGCAGUUCCAUUUUAUCCGGCCCACGCACAGCAUGUUCCCAUUCUUCACAUCACUAACGGAUGCAUACUCGAGUGUGCUGAGGCCGGAAGAGGGGGUGCCGGCACUGUUAAAGGAGUUGAGGGAGGGGUCGAAGGAUCUGACUACGGUGCUGGAGAGAUGCCUGAAUCGGUUGGAGUGGGAUCGGUCGCAGGAGCAGGCAAGGCAGCAGGCGGAGGAUAAGAUUGAGCAGGAAAGGAUGCAGAUGUCAAUGAUCGACUGGCAUGAUUUUGUUGUUGUUGAGACAAUUGAAUUUGCAGAGGAUGAGUAUGAGGGGCUUCCUGUGCCACCUACUCUGGAAGAGUUGAAACGCCGGAAGAGGAUGCAGAAUUUGGGAGAGGACGAAGCGAUGGAAAUGGCUGAACCAGCUAAGGAGGUUGAGAUGGAAAUGGAUGAAGACGAGAUGCAACUUGUUGAGGAAGGAAUGCGGGCAGCACAGCUUGAGGAGAAUGAAGGAGCAGCGCAGGUUAAGGUGGCUGGUGAUGAUGAGGCUCCUAUGAGGAUUGUCAAAAACUACAAGAGGCCUGAGGAGAGGAUCCCUGCAGAGAGGGACCCAACCAAGUUUGUUGUCUCACCGAUAACUGGGGAGCUGAUUCCCAUCAGCGAGAUGGAGGAACACAUGCGCAUCUCACUCAUUGACCCUAAGUACAAGGAGCAGAAAGAGAGGAUGCUGGCCAAGAUUAAGGAGACCACCCUUGCACCUGAUGAUGAGAUUUCAAGGAACAUUGUUGGUCUUGCUCGCACUCGCCCUGAUAUUUUUGGGACCACUGAGGAAGAGGUUUCUAAUGCUGUUAAGGCAGAAAUUGAAAAGAAAAAGGAUGAGCAGCCGAAGCUGGUUAUUUGGGAUGGUCAUUCUGGUAGCAUUGGUCGGACUGCCACUCAUGCAUUGUCUCAGCCCCAGGGUGGUGAGGAACAGUUUGAUGCUUCAAAUUCUCAUGUUCCUGGUCCAGCUCCGCCUCUCCGGCCUGGCAUGCAAUUGCCCCGACCUCCUCAGCCACUUCCUCUUCUUAAUGUUCCUCGCUUUAUUGCCCCUCCAGCACCGUAUUCUGUCCCACCACCAGGUCCUCAUAUGCCUGGAGCUCAACAUAUGAUGCCUCAUAUGCAUCCACCUCCACAACAGAUAACAGGGCAGCCGCAGAUGAUCAGGAUGCCAGGACAGAUGGUUCAUAUGCCAACCAAUAUUCCUCCACCUCCUGGCCAGACUCAGUUUAUGCCUGGUCCACCGCGCUCAUUUCCAAUGCCCCCACCACCACACAUGCCACCCAUGGUCAAUCCUAUUGGAAUCCCUCAGCCUCCAGCACCGCCUCUGCCUCCACAGCCUCCUGCCGAAGAGCAGCCACCUCCACCUGAUGAACCAGAACCAAAGAGGUUGAGAGCAGAUGAUGCUUCUCUUAUCCCGGCAGAGCAGUUCCUCACUCAGCAUCCGGGUCCUGCUAGCAUCUCAGUAUCUGUACCCAACCUUGAUGAAGGAAAUCUGCGUGGCCAAGUUUUGGAGAUUCGUGUCCAAUCACUGUCAGACACAGUUGGUAGUCUGAAGGAGCAGAUUGCUGGAGAGUUGCAGCUCCCUGCUAAUAAGCAGAAGUUGAGUGUGAGGACUAGUUUCCUCAAAGACAACCUUUCUCUUGCUUACUACAAUGUGGGUCCUGGAGUGGUGAUCAAUCUAACACUGAGGGAGCGUGGUGGGAGAAAGAAAUGAAGCAUUUUCAACCUCAGCUCAGUGUCAGAUUCUUCUUUACAACAUCGAUGGUGGUACUGUUCCUUGAAUGGUUAUUCUGGCAGAAUGCCAUGGCAUCCACUGCAUAACUGCUACUGGAACAUUUGAAGUAGGAAAUGUAUUUGUUUGGGGAUAUGCAUUCUCUGGUCGCUUUCACUAUUGCACUAAGCUUUGAUAUGCUCCUGCAGAAAUGGUUCCUUUAUGCUAACCAAAUUUUGUUAUAAUGCUAUGUUUUCACAAGUCACCACUCACCAGCAUACCUGUUUUCUGAAAAUGCAUGUCGAGAUAUAUUAGUCAUUCAACCAUCUGCACACACCUUGGCAAGGGGGAAAAUGGCCUGAAUACUUGCUGGGCACUAGUGUAUUUUGUAUGAUUGGACAGCAAACUAUCCACAAUAUUACUUGUUAGGGUGUUGGUUCAAGCUUGAAAACUUAAUUCGUAGGUCUUGUCUGGAUACAUCAAAAUCCACCCCCAUUCAUGUGUAUUGGGGUGGAUUGGCUUGAAAAUUAGUUCAUUUUCCACCCCAAUCCACAUGUAUUGAAGUGCAUUUGUGGUACCCAAACAAAGCGGGGUUGAUUGUCGCCAUAUCUUCUUGGAACUUCACAACCAGUUUCUGUAAAUGUUUUGUACCGGCUUCAGUUUGAAUUUCUUAA